UAAGAACCACUCGCUGAAACGGACCCCAACACCCUCCCCCCUCCACUGCCUCUCUCUUCGAGCAAACAUUAGCUGUCAGCACUCCAAACGGAGCCCCCCUUGCCUGCCUCU